UUUUUUUUUUUUUUUCAGCUACCCACUAACCCUGUUCUGUUCCCAAACUGGUUCAUGUCAGGUUAAUUACUUCCUUUUUAUAAGAGCUUCUAGGCAAAUCUCAGAGAAUUCUUGGUCUCCUCUAUAACUGAUCCAAGCUGACUUUAAUCUAGAAACUUUCUCAACUAUAUUUCUAUAACCCUAACACAGGUUUGUAGGUUGGCAAAUUUUCCAUUGAGGUGAUUCUUUUCCAGUUCCACUUUUGUCAAAUAUUCUUGUGCAGCUGCCUGAAAAUUCCCAGAGAUAUUUUCUCUUUUACUACUGAAGGCCAUUCUGGUAUUUGGGAGAAGAAAAUAACUUCUAAGCUAAAUAAAACUAUUCUCCCAACAUUAGAAAGAAGAGAAAUUCUAUUACAUUUUAGCAACCAGAUAUGCCUUAGGUUUAUUAAUGUUCCAUGUACAUUUAUGCAUUAGCUAAACACACAUUGCAAUUUUCAGUACCUACAAAGUGUACCUAAUUCAUCUGCAAUGAAUCAUACAGUCUCUGUCUACUUAGAUAUAAAAUUCAUUCAAUGUUGAAUUACUUUUUAAUAUGAUAAUUUGGGAUUGUAAGAUAUCAGCUAAAAUAGGAACCAACUCACAUUAUGCUUCUGCAAACUUUUUCAAAACACAAAGACUUGAAAAUCUAAUUUUUUUAUAGUAGAAAGUAAUAGCAGCAUUUAAAAUAACAAUUACUGUACACUUUUAUCACAACAAUUCAUGUGAAUAUUCACAACACGAGAUUGCCUUCAUGCACUUAAAGCAAGAGUUAAAAGAAAGUAUGUUCAUGUCAUAUCCUAAAAAGCAAAGAGAAAUAGAAAAGUAUAUGCAAUAGACCAUCUCAAAACAAGCAGUAAAAAUGUGAUCGAUAGGCAACUAAGAAACUUAGAAAUUUAGAGGUGAGAGCUAUAUAUUAAAAAAUCAAAAGAUUAAGAUAGGGAACAAAAAUCUUCAUGAAUUGGGAUAAAUAAUUAGCAAGGUGUACAUUCUUUUAAAAUGAACUCAAAAUUGUUCAUCCAAUAAAAAAUAAAUCUGGUUGAAUUUUUAAGCAAAUCCAUAUUCAAGCACAAAGAAUAUUCGUCAGUAAUAAUAUGGAGGAAAUAACAACAUCCAUAACAAUGGAAGAGCUAAGUUUUAUAAAAUUAGAUUUAUAGUUUUUCUAACUAUAAACAUAAUAGGUAUUUGUUAUAGAAAUUUGAAGAUUAAAAAAGUCACUAAGUAAAAACAUGUAUAAUUCAAAUAGAAUUACAUUUCUAUUUGCAUAUGCUUUAGUAUCUGAAAUAAUAUUAGAAAUUAAAGAUUACAUGAGUUUUUACCGUUUGUAUUAGUAUUUAAGUAUUUUCUGUGUCAUUGAUUUAUUUGCAGAGAACUGAGACCCAAUUAAAAGUGGCUUAAGCAAAUAAAGGUAGAUUUUAGCUUGUAUGAAUAAAAAGGUUACUGAAAAGGCCAGGAGUAAGCUUGCUUGGGCUUUUGUGCUCAUACAAAUUAAUCGAAAAUUAUCUUUAUCUAUCUCUUAGCAGUGAUUUUCUCUGGGUUGAUUUUAUUCUUAGUCAAUUCUUCCUACAAGAUGGCAAAAGAACCCUAGAAGUUUCCAUUAACUUUUUAUUUAGAAACUCCAAUGGAAAGUUUCUGCUUCUUCAGCAAUACUCCCAGGGAAGGUUCCCAGCAGGGUCCUUCUCUUCACCCAGGGGGAUAUAACAUUGAUUACUCAGCUUUUAAUUGCCAGGGAAAUGUGGGAGUCAUUGGCAUGAAGCUGAAUCUAAAGUUCGGAGGCUGGAUGACAUGACUGCCUAGGGAACAAGAACAGAUACAGAAGAGAAGCGUCUAAAACAUAAGCCCGAGGUCACACAACCAGACUUGUAAGUAGAAAACCUUUCAUAUAGAAAAAUAGCUGCGGAUUCUCUUUUGUGUAAGCUCCUUAGUCUCAGUAAGUAGUCAGAAAGGCCAUGGACUAAAAAGUCCAUAUAUUCUAACAUACACCAAGGUUAGACCCAACAUGAAAAUUUUUCAGAAGAAAGUGUUUUAAUGGACAUUGCUGAAAAAUCACUAUCACAAAAUUCAAUUGAAAUAGUAUAUUUAAAUGUACUAAAUCGGUUAAAUAAAAGUUUACACUCAACUAAAGAAAAAUUUAUUGUCCUAUACUCAACUGAAAAUUCCUUCCCGGUCAGUUGAUUUAGACAGCCUGCUCAUCUUCAAAAUCAAGUUCAAUAAUACAUGGAAAGCCAUGAAAAAAGACAAACUGUCAUCCGAGAUUAACAUGUAUUUUUGCACUUCAUGUAAAACUGCCACUUCUGAGGACAUUCAAUGUCUUUUGAAAAUUUUAUCAAGAUCAAACUGUACAAGACCAGAAUUUUUAAAAGUAAUUGAUACUCUCUAACAAUUUGCAAAGAACUUGGCAAGAAAGGAAAUAAAAUAUGAAUAGCUUUACUAGUAUGUUAGCACAUGUUAUAAUGAAUAAUUUGGAAUAUUUCCUUUGGAAUUUUUAAAUAAUGUAAGGUAACCUACAUUAAAAAUUUGUGUACAAUAUAAGUUUAUCUAAAUAUCCUGAUUAGCUUUUGAACAUUGCAUGAUGCAUAAUCUAUAUUAUUGCUAGAGGAAUCCUAAACUAUACAAAAGAACUCAUAUUUCAAUGCUCUGUUAGAUUUCUCUGUUAAAAUAAGAAAUUAUUAUAUUAGUUUACAAAUUAAGACUUGGUCUAAAAAAUCAUAGAGUCCCGAGUUUUUAAGAUAAUCAAAAUUUCACUGUGAUGCAAAGCAUGUUCUAAGAAUUCAAAGCAAACUUAAUAAUAAUAUUCUUUAUCCCCAAGGAAAGAGUUAGAAGAUAAUUUCCACAUUUAUUUUAUAUACUUCUGUUUUACAGUAUUUUUUCAAAUAAUGAUCUUUUUUAUAAUUAUUUAAAAGCAAUUUGUAGUCAUAAUGAAGUAUUAGAAAAAUAUAUCAACUGUGUCACAUUGUAAUAUGCAAAUGGAUCAACUCUUUCUCUUGAUUUAAAAAAAUACAAAUUAUUUGGGCCUCAUCCUGAAAAGGAAUCCAGUAAAAUAAGUCUGUAGUGGAGCACCAAGAUUCAAUAUUUUAUUUUAUUUUUUAUUAUUUUUUUUCAAUGCACAUAGAAACUCCUGGACCAGGGAUUGAACCCAUGUCAUAGCUGCAACCCAAGACACAGCAGUGACAAUGCAGAGUCCUUAACCACUAGGCUACCAGGAAACUCCAAGACUCUGCAUUUUCAAAAAGCAAACCUCGAGUUCCUGCUGUGGAUCGGGCAUCUUGGGAGCUCUGGGAUGAAGGUUUAAUCCCCGGCCUGGCACAGUGGGUUAAGGAUCCAGUGUUAUCACAGCUGUGGCUUAGGUCUGAUCCCUGGCCCAGGAACUCUAUAUGCCGCAGGGUGACCAAAAAAGAAAAAUAAAUAAGGAAAUUUGGGUGAUUCUGUGCACACAGUUUGUAGACUAAAAUUCAAAAAACCCCGAUAAUAGGGAAUAAUUUCAUCAUGGUAUAGAGAAGGAGAGUUCCUGAGCCUGUUUGCAAAGACAAAAUCUAGGGAGAAGAGAUAGAUCUGACAAAUAAAAAUGUAAGACUAAAGUAUGUUAGAAAACACUGAAAAAAAAUCAAAAGUCAAAUAAUAAAUUGGGAAAAAUUUAAAUUCUUUCAAAAUUAAAAAAUCACAGUUAACCCUGAUAGAGUAAAAUGUUUAAAAAUCAAUUAAAACAAUAAGCAUCCUAAUAGAAAAGCCUUGUAAGAUUCUAGAUCUCAAGAAUUUUAUCUGUUAAAUAACCCCUCAAUUAAGUGAUUAGCCCUGAUGAGUAUAAAAAGAAGCCAUGAGGAUUAUAUGGAGUCAAGAAGUGUUUAGAGUUUAGAGUUUAUGACAAAGGGUCAUAACAAGCUGAAGUUUGAGGAAGUAGGGCAAGAAGGCAGAGUAGCGGAAAGACUACUCUAGUCAAUACAAAGAACAUAGAUAGCAUUGCUGUCAAGUUCCAGACAAUUCAUGAACUUCUCCUGCUAAAAUGAUUAGUGCUGCCUUGGAUCAAGUUCCAUUUGUAUGAUGGCCAGGUGUACUAUGGUUUCCAUUCUUGGAAUCCUAUUCCAUCUCUGCCUCUCUUAAUUGCCCUAAAUGUUUCCUUACUGCAAAUCCUUCACUAUUAAAACAACUUGAGUGUGUCUGUUUCCUUCAACUAAGAGAUCAUAACUAGAACAUCUGAAGAACUCUAUCUAAUGCAUCAAUCUCAAUGAAUAAACAAUAUACAUUGGGCCUUGAAAGUCAGAAGAGUGUCCUUCAUUUUUCUCUGGUAGUAGGCAGCAGCAAGGUCAUGAUAUACUGUUAUAUCUUAUACAACUAGCUGAAUAAUUACAUUCCAUGUUUAUAGACAAGAAUCCAUUAUGUAGAUUGUAAGCCUUUUAUGGAAAAGAACUGUCUUUUUUUUUUAAGUCCCCAGCACAUACAUAGUACUGUAUAGUUAACAGGCUAUGUACCUGAAUUUAUUGUCAUCUCUCCAUAUUCCCUCUUGCCCUGUCUCACUGGGAUCAGAAACACACAGAUUCUGAAAUUGAGAUAUAAGAUUUGCAUAAUUACCUUUUCUCUUAAAUAAAGAGUACCAUUAUUUUAAAUCAACUCUCAUUUUCAAAAUAUGCUUUUUUAAUGACAUAAUUAGUAACCCAGUUUUGUCUAUUUUUACAUCAGUGCACUCCGCUUGAUAAAUAAUAUUCAAAAAUUUUUCCAGCAUGCAUAUAUUUUCUUAAGCAAGUUUAAAAUAUAUAUAUUAAAUGUAUACUUAUAUUUUAUAGGUACAAAUUUCUGUUGGUCAUUCAUACACAUUAUGUGGCUUUCAUAUCAUGAUGCUUUAUAACACUGUAGUUACUUUAGUCACGUCUUCAGUAUAUGUAUGACCUGGCAAAAGGAUGAAACAAAUGGAGACCAAUAGAUAGAUAGGUAGCUAGGUAGAUAGAUAGAUAGAUAGAUAGAUAGAUAGAUAGAUAGAUAGAUAGAAUACUUGGUAUUCUAAACAAUUGAACAUAUACCCAUGAAUUAAACCAGAUACUCUUGAAAAUAUUUAUUUAAAGGAAAUGUUCACCUGACAAAAACAAAAACAAAAAAGAAACCCCUGAAACCCUCUCCUCACACGAAAGCAUCUCAUGCCUAAUGAAUGCUCCUUUUAAGAAUCAUUUAAGGUAGUUUAUAAAGUGUGUCUUCCAAAUUUCCAGGUUAAAUGUUUGAUGUGGUUUUUUUCUGCUUCAAAAUCACUUUGUUGUUAAGGUUUACUGCUGAGCUUUAUAGGGUAAGGUAGAUCCAGAUUAUCUUUUCCUGAAAAUAAGCAUGGUAUUGUCAAGUUCUACUAUUAAUUCAUGCAAAUAUAUCCUUCUAUCAGAGAGAAUAAAGUCAUGUUAAAAAUAAAGCUAGAUUAUAGAAUGAGACCAAACUGAAUAUUUUCUCCAUUCUGGAAUUUGAGUAGAAUCUGUGCUUAAAAUAAUAGCUUGGGGGCAUGUUGAAAAGUUUAAUGUCAAUUAACCUAUUUCCUAAAAAUGUUUAUGCUAAGAGCCUCUCAGUCCAUCUUAAGACAGAAUAAAAAGCACUGAACAGAAUCAAACUGCUUUAGUCUAUAGGUCUAAGGUCCAUAUGUGCAUUGAAAUUAGGCCUCGCUGCCAUCUCUGCUUCAUCUAGAACUAAAACUUCAGUGAGUACAUGAACUAUUGAAAGCAUUCUUCUUGCCAACACCAUCUGAAUCAAUAGCCUGCAAAAGACAUGAGGCUCUUUUGGCAAAAAUGCACCAUGGACACCAACUCCAAAUACUGGGAGAGCUAACAUUCUGCAUUAUUCUCAAGGAAACAGCACUCGUGGCAAAGCCUAAUCCUACAUUGAUAGUAGCCUCACUGAAAUGCAGCUCAAAAAUUAAGAAGGUUCUCAUAUAAAUACUAUUCAUAAUUCAAAGACAGAAAUACCUGGCCCACAAUGUCAUCAGGACACAGGAAAUGCACUCUCUAAAAGGUAUGCUAAUUGAUACAGACACUUCAGGCUUCAGAAAUUUCCAUCAACAUUCAGUUCACAAACUCGGAGAUAUAGUAGAGAUUCUGCACGGAAGAGAAACACCUAGACAGGGUGUAGUUGUCAGAAAACAUCAGUAUAGCCCCCAAAUCAGAGAAUAUUGUUGUUAACAUGGCAGGAAGUCCAGGAAUUGAUUGCUUUCAGAGAAGGGAAAAUGGUUUAGGAUAUCAUAGUAUUUAAAAUAGUGUUUAUAGAUAAUAAUUACUGUGAAGUGGAGGUUAAUAGAUGGAUUUUAAAGUAUUUCCUAUAAAUUCUAAGAAUUUUUCUCAAAGUUGUUAAAACAAACUUUCUUUAAAAUCACAACAGUCACAGAAUUGGUAUUAUUGUGAAAUGUAAUAUGGAUUCAGUUCCACUCAAAAUAUAUUUACUUAGUGCUAUUAAAGAAAGCCAAGAACUGGACAGCAGUUAAAACAGUAAAGACAUAUUUUACUCAGGAUCUCUUGCAGUAGGGGAAAAGAGACCUCAAUAUAGAAUCAGAGUUAUUUCUGAAUACAGUGAGAAUAAGUAGGGAUUUAUUGCCAAGUAUCAUGGGCUGUGGUCAAAGGAUGGAAAAUUACUAAGUGGAAACAUGUUGAUAAGGAGGAAUUUUGGUUAAACCAACUUGACAGGAUUCUAGCUGAAGGCAGGCCACAGUGAUCAGAUUUACCUGGGAACUAGUGGGGGAUGAGGAAUUUGAUCUGUUAUUAAAGGUGAACAGAUAUGGUGGGUAGGAGUUCUGGCUAAACUGACAGCAGGAUUUUGCCAAAAACUUAGCAAUGCAAAGAGGAACACAGAUACCCAAAGGCUGGGACUAGUUGAAAAGAUGGCUCAGAGGAUCCUGUCUAAAAUUUGGUCAAGGAGAGAAUCUGUUAGUACAUACC
rnacentral:lncRNA from 1 species